rnacentral:pre_miRNA from 1 species
UGGAUGAGAGCCACUCUGGCUAGCCAAGAAGACCGGCCCAUGCAGCCACAUUUGCACAUCCUAUCACAAGAAUUUCUUUCAGAAACCCCUUAAUCUGCCAUCUGCCAUGGCUGAUAGAUGGAUGGAUGAGCCAACAUGAGGCAAAAGCAUAGGCAAGUCAUUCUUGGCUACCAAAGGGAGUAGCUCUCCAUCU